rnacentral:rRNA from 1 species
UACGAAGGGGGCUAGCGUUGCUCGGAAUGACUGGGCGUAAAGGGCGCGUAGGCGGCUCAUACAGUCAGAUGUGAAAUUCCUGGGCUUAACCUGGGGGCUGCAUUUGAUACGUGUGGGCUUGAGUGGGGAAGAGGGUCGUGGAAUUCCCAGUGUAGAGGUGAAAUUCGUAGAUAUUGGGAAGAACACCGGUGGCGAAGGCGGCGACCUGGUCCUUGACUGACGCUGAGGCGCGAAAGCGUGGGGAGCGAACGGG